AAUAAAACAACAACCUGUUGCAUGUGCGGUGAAACACACACGGGCAUCUAUUGAUCAUAUGAAUCUUUUUUGCUUUCCAGUGACUCAUUAACGCCGGUCAACCGGAAAGUGGCAGAGCCUGCCGUUGCUUGCUCACGAAGGUAGAAGAGUUGGAAGUGCAAGAAUGCUGCUUUGUGAAAGCCUGUGAAAACAAUCCCCCCCAUUCGCACGGGCUACAUGUUCGGAUUCCACGCAGCAGUGUCAGGUGCACGGUGCGUUCAUGACAACUUUCAACGGGGAAACCUCCCUGUAAUUGUCUGACCGCAAGGCAGAAAUAGUCCUGAAUGAUUGAUUGCUUGAUGCGUGAUAUGAACGCCACACUUCUGGCUGCUUGCAUGUCGAUUUUACUGCCCUGUAGCCAAAUAAUAGCUUUUAGAAUGGUUACCUGCAGCUUGCUGGAGUAUCUCCACGCCAGGACACAAGAACGAGUGAAGGCUGGAGAUGCAGAGUUCAUUGACUGUCCCCAUGUCGAAUAAUAUUAAUAAUAGUCAAAAAUC